GACGAACGCUGGCGGCGUGCCUAAUACAUGCAAGUCGAACGCAGUGGGGACGGGUGAGUAACACGUGGGUAACCUCCCAUCAGAGGGGAUAACACUUGGAAACAGGUGCUAAACCGAUACUGAUGGAUGGACCCGCGGUGCAUUAGCUAGUUGGUGAGGUAACGGCUCACCAAGUCCACGAUGCAUAGCCGACCUGGGGGGGUGAUCGGCCACACUGAGACUGGGAAAGGGCCCAGCCUCCUAGGGGAGGCAGCGGUGGGGAAUCUUCGGCAAUGGACGAAGGUCUGACCGAGCAACGCCGCGUGAGUGAGGAGGGUCUUCGGUUCGUAAAACUCUGUUAUUAGGGAAGCGGUACCUAAUCAGAAAGCCACGGCUAACUACGUGCCAGCCGCGGCGGUAAAC
rnacentral:rRNA from 1 species